AAUGAAAUACGAUGAAAUUUGAUGAAAUUUAUUAUCGUCACACACAAGGACGAGCAUGCACAUAUUUAACAACUCAUUCUAAAAUGGUAGAAACAUCACAAACACAGGUGCAUGUGCACAUGCAUGUUCUAAAAUGGUAGAAACAUCACAAACACAGGUGCAUGUGCACAUACACAUGCAACAAUCUAAAGGAUUUGACACAUCUAACAUCCAUGGGAGCAAUUCAGAGUGUUGAUUUCGCACUGGUAGAAGAGAAAUCCCUGCC
rnacentral:lncRNA from 1 species